UACAGAGGCCCCAAGCGUUACUGAGAAUCACUGGGUUUAAAGGGUGCGUAGGUGGCGCGUUAAGUCCGUUGUGAAAUCCCCCGGCUCAACCGGGGAAUUGCUGGGCAUACUGGCGGUCUUGAGCGAUCUAGGGGCAGAUGGAACAAGUGGUGGAGCGGUGAAAUGCGUAGAUAUCACUUGGAACGCCAAAGGUGAAGACAGUCUGCUGGGGAUCUGCUGACGCUGAGACACGAAAGCCAGGGGAGCGAACGGG
rnacentral:rRNA from 1 species